ACGCUCGACACCUACGGGAGGCAGCAGUGGGGAAUAUUGGGCAAUGGGCGCAAGCCUGACCCAGCAACGCCGCGUGAAGGAAGAAGGCCCUCGGGUUGUAAACUUCUUUUGACAGGGACGAAACAAAUGACGGUACCUGUCGAAUAAGCCACGGCUAACUACGUGCCAGUAGCCGCGGUAAUCUGAGCGGGCUGGCAAGGC
rnacentral:rRNA from 1 species